AUUGAACGCUGGCGGCAGGCCUAACACAUGCGAGUCGAACGGUAACAGGAAGCAGCUUGCUGCUUCGCUGACGAGUGGCGGGCGGGUGAGUAAUGUCUGGGAAGCUGCCUGAUGGAGGGGGAUAACUACUGGAAACGGUAGCUAAUACCGCAUAAUGUCGCAAGACCAAAGAGGGGGACCUUCGGGCCUCUUGCCAUCGUAUGUGCCCAGAUGGGAUUAGCUUGUUGGUGGGGUAACGGCUCACCAAGGCGACGAUCCCUAGCUGGUCUGAGAGGAUGACCAGCCACACUGGGACUGAGACACGGUCCAGACUCCUACGGGAGGCAGCAGUGGGGAAUAUUGCACAAUGGGCGCAAGCCUGAUGCAGCCAUGCCGCGUGUAUGAAGAAGGCCUUCGGGUUGUAAAGUACUUUCAGCGGGGAGGAAGGGAGUAAAGUUAAUACCUUUGCUCAUUGACGUUACCCGAAGAAGAAGCACCGGCUAACUCCGUG
rnacentral:rRNA from 1 species